rnacentral:lncRNA from 1 species
AGUAAUUAAUAAUUGACAAAAUGGCAGCUUCUACUUCAACAAUUUGUGAAUACAAUCGGAGGGCAGCAUUAUUGAAUCACUUCAUGUGGGAAACAUGCCAAAGGAAAUCAUUGCAUGGUUUGGCUACAAGAAGACUCAAGUUUACAAUAUAGUCAAGAGAUUCAGGAAGUCUAGCACAGAGGAACUUACUCCUGACCGAGCCAAACACAGAAAGCGAUCUGAUUGCAAGAGGAGUGACAAAUUUAUCUCCAAAUUGAAGGAGAAGAUUGACCAGAAUCCAGGGCAGAGAUGGCUGACCUGGCAAAAGAAAUAGCCAUG